rnacentral:rRNA from 1 species
CUACGGAGGGGACUAGCGUUGUUCGGAAUUACUGGGCGUAAAGAGUUCGUAGGCGGACUGAUAAGUAAGAGGUGAAAUCCCAGGGCUCAACCCUGGAACUGCCUUUUAAACUGUCAGUCUAGAGACCGGAAGAGGUUAGGGGAAUACCUAGUGUAGAGGUGAAAUUCGUAGAUAUUAGGUGGAACACCAGUGGCGAAGGCGCCUAACUGGUCCGGUACUGACGCUGAGGAACGAAAGCGUGGGGAGCAAACAGGAUUAGAAACCCUAGUAGUCC